rnacentral:rRNA from 1 species
UACGAAGGGUGCAAGCGUUACUCGGAAUUACUGGGCGUAAAGCGUGCGUAGGUGGUUUGUUAAGUCUGAUGUGAAAGCCCUGGGCUCAACCUGGGAAUUGCAUUGGAUACUGGCAGGCUAGAGUGCGGUAGAGGAUGGCGGAAUUCCCGGUGUAGCAGUGAAAUGCGUAGAGAUCGGGAGGAACACCGGUGGCGAAGGCGGUUCUCUGGGCAUGAUCUGACGCUGAGGAGCGAAAGUGUGGGGAGCGAACAGG